GACGAACGCUGGCGGCGUGCUUAACACAUGCAAGUCGAACGGAAAGGCCCUGCUUUUGUGGGGUGCUCGAGUGGCGAACGGGUGAGUAACACGUGAGUAACCUGCCCUUGACUUUGGGAUAACUUCAGGAAACUGGGGCUAAUACCGGAUAGGAUCUCCUGCUGCAUGGUGGGGGUUGGAAAGUUUCGGCGGUUGGGGAUGGACUCGCGGCUUAUCAGCUUGUUGGUGGGGUAGUGGCUUACCAAGGCUUUGACGGGUAGCCGGCCUGAGAGGGUGACCGGCCACAUUGGGACUGAGAGACGGCCCAGACUCCUACGGGAGGCAGCAGGGGGGAAUAUUGCACAAUGGGCGGAAGCCUGAUGCAGCAACGCCGCGUGCGGGAUGACGGCCUUCGGGUUGUAAACCGCUUUCGCCUGUGACGAAGCGUGAGUGACGGUAAUGGGUAAAGAAGCACCGGCUAACUACGUG
rnacentral:rRNA from 1 species